rnacentral:lncRNA from 1 species
AAAAGAGGUAGCCAUUAUAGCUCAGUAACCAAGGAUGUUGAAAAGACUAUUAGCGACAUCAAAAAGAAAUGCAGUAAGAGCCUGCAUAAGCUUGUACAAACCCUCGAGGAAGAAAAGAUGGACCUGAUGAAUAGGAAUGCUGUCAAGAAGCAGGAACUUCAGAAUUGUAAAAAGGUGGAAGCAUCAUUUAUUCGUGUCACCUAUUCAGGUAUAAAUACUCAGAGCUUACAUGAUGCUCUCCAACGGCUGGAAUGUACUUUUGAAAGAAAGUUUGAUGAUCUCAAAGGAGAGUUGGAUGAAUGCCUUGAAAGUUUAGAGCAAAUAAACGAGGCUGGAAAGAAGAAGUUGGCUGAAGAUGAAGCCUGUUGGAUUAGUCGGAUAGAGAAAUGGGCACGAGCUGAAUUAAGAAAUGGUGCUCCCAAUCAAGCAUGGUCCAAUGCGGACAACAGUUUGGACCAGCAGAAUGAAGAAGCUUGUUCUCUUGACAAGGAGAUUCCUGACGAGUUAGCUUUGCCUCUGCCAAACCCUGCGUCUUUGGUAAAGACUAGAGGCUCUGCUGAAUCUGAUCAGGUUAAUUCAUUUGAAUCUUUAUAAUGCUUAUUCUUGUUUUCCUGUAAACCAGUUAGUGCCAGAUCGAUGCCGAUCAAAUGCCCUUUUGUCUUAAUAAAUUGACUUUUCUGGACAGGUGGAUCACGAGAAACCUGAUUCAGCAGAAAACAUUCAGGGGAAAAAGACUGAAACAGCAGUUGAGCCUCAGCCAGCUGGAUCUCCUAUGCCUUCUUCACCGGGCGAAAAGCAACAUGACCUAGCAGCAAACGUUCAGGGCCAAAACAUUGAAUCAGCAAUUGAGGCUCAGCCAGUUGAAUCUUCUAUGCCUUCUUCACUGGCUGGACAGCAAUCUGACCCGGCAGUAAACAUACAGAGCAAAAAUAUUGAAACAUCAAUUGACCCUCGGCCAGCUGAAUCUUCCAUGCCUUCUUCACCGGCUGGACAGCAAUCUGACCCAGCAGUAAACAUUCAGGGAAAAGAUAUUGAAGCGAUAAUGGAGCUUCAGCCAGCUGAAUCUCCUGUGCCUUCUUCACCGGCUGGACAACAAACUGACCCAGCAGUAAACAUUGAAACCGUAAUUGAGCCUCAGCCAGCUGAAUCUUCCAUGCCUUCUUCACCAGCUGGACAGAUUCAGGGAAAAGAUAUUGAAGCGAGAAUGGAGCUUCAGCCAGCUGAAUCUCCUGUGCCUUCUUCACCGGCUGGACAGCAAUCUGACCCAGCAGUAAACGUUGAAACCGUAAUUGAGCCUCAGCCAGCUGAAUCUUCUAUGCCUUCUUCACCGGGAGGAAAGCAACCUGACCCAGCAGAAAAUAUUCAGGGCAAAAAUAUUGAAGAAACAGUUGAGUCUCAGCCAGCAGGAUCAGAAACAUUAGAGACUGGUGGUUUUGCUGCAUCAGAGCAGGUCCGUCUUGAAGACUCUUUAUCUUUUGCAGUUUUAUUGUUAUCUAGCUGUUGUAAUGUUCAUUCUGAGUUUCCCAUUGGAAGAGCAACGAAGUGUGGUUAUUGAUUAGGUCUCAUAUCUGUUUAAAUUUGACUCUCUGGACAGGUUGAUCAAGUUGCAUGUCCUUCGCCAUCUUCGCCUGCUGGAAAUCAACCUGAUUCAGGCGCAAAUAUUGAGAGCCAAAGUAUCAGCACAUCAGCUGAGCCCCACAUCGCUGGUCCAGGCCCAGUAUUAGAUCAGGUACUUAUUGUCGCAACUUAAGACUUUCUCUUUUGUUGUCUAAAAGUAUUACAACUUUGUAAUGUCUUCGUUCUGGAUUUGACUGCAUGAAAUAAUUAACGCUCAGGAUGCAUGCUCUCUGCCAUCUCCAUCGGUUGGAACUCAGGGUGAUAUAGCAGCAAACACUAAGGGCCAAAAUACUACAACAGUGUCAAAUGCAGUAGAAACUGGUUGGUCACUACCCUUGUGCAUGUCAGUAUAAGUUUGCCAAACAGCUAACACAAUCUGAUAAUGGUCUUUGCUCAGAUAACGUUGCACCCCUUGUCCAUGAAGGUGUUGUGGAGUCGUCAUUAGGUGUAACAGCUCCUGUUCCAUCACUUCUUAACAAUGCUACGGCUACUACGGGACAGAGUCCCAUUCAACCUGUUCCCCAAAUACCUUUCCCUGUGUUCAGUGACCCGUUUCAGCAUGAACUGGAGAAGCUGCGAAGACAAUCAGAGAUCACAAAGAAGACCUGUGAAGAAAUGGUUAGUCGUUGUCAAUACCCCCAGUUACCUCUAGUUUUAGUUCCUUUUUCUCAAAAAAUAUGUCGAGCUGUCAGAUGAAGUUAGUCCAAAUAUAUUUUGGACAAAGCUGUUGGGUGGAAAAAACCCUAUGUGGACAUACUAUUCAGAUACUUCUCAAAGGAGUAGAAAAAGAGUACGACAUCUUCAGGGCUCUGAAGAGACUGCCAAACUUGACGAUGUGAAAAGUACAAAGAAGAAAAAGAAGGCUUCAGAUGAUGUCACAGUUGUUUACGAUGAAAGAAAAGCCUCUGGGAACGAUCACAUGGGUAAAAUAUUUCACUUCCUGCUUUAACUCUUAGUGUUUAUUGAAUUUUGAAUUUACUUUGCUUACUAUCUAUUCUUCAGGGGAUUUGGAGUCACCAAAAGUCACAACGCUCCUGUCAUCUGGAUCUGCUUCUGGUACUAACGAUGCAUUAGAUGGAAAAGAUGCUAUUGGCUUGUAUUCUGUGGGCGGUCAUAUAUCUGGAAUCCCAGAGGAUAUGUUAGCUGCCAUUGAUUGUAGACAAACUCCCGGCGAAUCACAGAAGACUCUCCAUACUGUUUUAAAGCCGCAGAUGUCAAAACUUUGCCAGAUUUUGCAUCUUUCAGUAAGUGGCUUUUUCGCCUGCGCAACUCAUUUUAGCUUUUGCAUAUGUAGAUUGUAACUGGAAUUGUCACCUCAUUCCAUGUCAUGGCCAAAUAGAUUUUUUAGUGUUCAACUAUAUUGUUUCCGUCAUAUCUGGCUCCGUUGCUUAUGUUCUGUUAAAAAUGGAGGAACUUCUGCACAAAACACUAGGUAGUUAUUUUCCCCAAUAUGUUCUAGAUUGUAAUUUUAAAUUUACAACAAAUUUUGAAAGGGUCAGCGAUGAGUUUGCAAAUCUCCGUGUUUCCUCCAGCAUUGCUCAGCCAGUUCAAGAACCUGAUCACUUGGCACAGGUUGGUUUCUUCUUGCUUUACUUUGGACACCUGUUUAAUAUUGGCCUGUCAAAUUUACUUAUCCUUUUACUUCUAAACUGCAAAUUCUGGUCUGCAUUGCAUUGUGAUAUGAAGGUAUCUGGACCCGCUUCAAGCAGAGACUAUGGGGAGGACAGGCAGAAUAUGCAACAAGAUAAAUCACAUGACCGAAAGUUGUCAUCGAUGUAUCCAGAGUAUUGGGUUCCAGUGCAGCUAUCAGAUGUACAGAUAGAGCAAUACUGUCGGACUCUCUUCUCCAACUCUUCAUCUCUUUCUUCGCUGUCGAGGACUGAUCCUGUUGGAGCUCUUGAACAAACUCUCAGUUCUGUAAGAAAAGUAAGUUUAUUUGUUUUAUUCUUCAAUGCGCUUGUGCCUUAAAUUCCCAGUUAACGAUGACAAUAAGAUAAAAGAAAGAAAUAUAUGACCAGAUAAACUGUUCACUUAAAAAGAAAAGUAUUACGUGCCAUGCUCCUAAGAGGUUGUCACGGAGUUGCUAUGCCUUUCUAUUUGUAUGUUUGUUAGGAAAAGCUCUGGUCUAUUUGAUUUCCGCUGUUCCGUAACACAUAGAAUUUGAAGUGCAAAUAAGACAGUUUAGGAUUAGCUUAGAUAUCUGACUAUUAUACAUGAACAUCACGUUUUCGCAAAGCCUCUUUCUGCAUGUUAAUGUGUGGAGAUAUUAAAUACCUUUUCCGUGUGUUUGCAAUUUUGUUGACAGAUUUGUAACCACCCAUAUAUUAUGGAUGCGUCUUUCAAACAACUGCUCACCAAGAAUCUGGAGGUUCAUAAAAUCGAGGAUGUCGAAAUCAAAGCAAGCGGGAAGCUUCACCUGCUUGAUGCAAUGCUUACUCAGAUAAAAUCAAAGGGUUUCAAAGCAGUUAUCUUCUACCAGGUGCAUUUCCAUUACUUAUCAAUGACGAUACUUCUUUGUUUGUCACAAAUACGCCGCUUACUGCAUUUUUAAUACGUAAAUAUAUAGUAUCCUGGCUUUUACUUUUAACAAUGGAGUUCUGUCUUGUGCUGAAGUAUGUUUUUGAUUAUGUGAUCGUGAAUUGUAAAGUAGCCUUCAGCAAUCAGUUGGCACUAUGAGAAAUGAUGAACUGGAAUGUUUCUUCUCCUCUUCUUUUAUUGAUAUAUAUGUGCCCCCUCAUGUUUGUUUGAAGAACUUUUUAUAUUUUGUUCAACAGGCAACACAAAGCGGUGAGGGGCUUAUGCUUGCUAAUAUUCUCGACGAUUUCGUGAGCCAAAGAUUUGGUCAGAACUCGUAUGAGCAUGGGGACUCUCACUCAAAGAAGAACGCUAUUAACAAUUUCAACAAGGAGAGUGAAUGUUUUAUCCUGCUUCUGGAAACACGUGCCUGCAGUCAAAGCAUUAAACUCCUGCGUGCUGAGGCUUUGAUUCUUUUUGGAAGUAGCUGGAAUUCAUCACAUGAUGUUAAGCUCUUGGAGAAGAUCAAGAUUGAGUCUUAUUCUGAAAAAACUAAAUUAUUCCGGUUGUACUCAACAUGUACAGUUGAAGAAAAAGCCCUGAUUCUGGCUAGGCAAAAGAAGUCUCUGGAUAACCUAAACCGUCCUCUGACACAUGCACUGCUCAUGUGGGGGGCUUCAUGUUUAUUUGAUAAGCUGGAUCACUUCAACGGCAGUCAAACCCCAGAUUCAGGAGUUCCAUUAGAACAGUCUAUUAGGGGCGACGUGAUUCGUGAAUUCUCGUCCAUUCUCUCUUCCAGUGUUGGAGAAGGAAAUGUAGGCAAGCUGUGCCUACUCUUAGAAGCCAAGCAUGCCCAGGGAACUUACAGCACUGAGUCUACUCUGUUUGGUGAAAAAUAUGUCGAGCUGUCAGAUGAAGUUAGUCCAAAUAUAUUUUGGACAAAGCUGUUGGGUGGAAAGAACCCUGUGUGGACAUACUAUUCAGAUACUUCUCAAAGGAGUCGAAAAAGAGUACGACAUCUUCAGGGCUCUGAAGAGACUGCCAAACUUGACGAUGGCAAAAAUACAAAGAAGAAAAAGAAGGCUUCAGAUGAUGUCGCAGUUGUUUACCAUGAAAGAAAAGCCUCUGGGAAGGAUCACAUAGGUAAAAUAUUUCACUUCCUGCUUUUAACUCUAGUGUUUAUUGAAAUUUGAAUUUACUUUGCUUACUAUCUAUUCUUCAGGGGAUUUGGAGUCACCAAAAGUCACAACGCUCCUGUCAUCUGGAUCUGCUUCUGGUACUAACGAUGCAUUAGAUGGAAAAGAUGCUAUUGGCUUGUAUUCUGUGGGCGGUCAUAUAUCUGGAAUCCCAGAGGAUAUGUUAGCUGCCAUUGAUUGUAGACAAACUCCCGGCGAAUCACAGAAGACUCUCCAUACUGUUUUAAAGCCGCAGAUGUCAAAACUUUGCCAGAUUUUGCAUCUUUCAGUAAGUGGCUUUUUCGCCUGCGCAACUCAUUUUAGCUUUUGCAUAUGUAGAUUGUAACUGGAAUUGUCACCUCAUUCCAUGUCAUGGCCAAAUAGAUUUUUUAGUGUUCAACUAUAUUGUUUCCGUCAUAUCUGGCUCCGUUGCUUAUGUUCUGUUAAAAAUGGAGGAACUUCUGCACAAAACACUAGGUAGUUAUUUUCCCCAUGUCCUUCAUAGCUAAGAAAGACUCGUCUCCUUGGCAUGAUCCGUUCAUAAGAGAUAUUGAUAUAAUUCUUGGCCUCAGUACCUGGCGGAUCAAAAGUGUAUAUGUUUGCUGGUGUUAUAGAAACUGAUAUAUUGACUGGUGCUAUAAGUUUUGUGUAUACAGUAACUGUUAUUUUGGGGUCUUAUAUCGUCAUAUAUUGGCUAAUAGAUGUGUCUACUGCCGUGUCCUUACUCCCUACCCUACUGAAUACUUCUGUGGAUGUCUCUGUGCACCGUUUAUCAAACUUGCACUAAAAGGUAUACCUGCUAAUUGGUUGACAUAUCAUUUUGUUUUUCAGGAAAAUUUGGCACGCAUGGUUGAAAAAGUUCUUGAAUAUAUUAUUGACAACCACCGUGUCUGCAAAGAGCCAGCUACAACAUUGCAGGCCUUCCAGAUAGCUGUGGUAUGAUAGCAUUCACUUCCAUAGUAUAUGCAUUUUUCUUCUUCAUCAUCUGUGGCAUCACUGCUUUUGUGGGAAUGUUUAACUUUCCAGUCAUAGGAUAGAAACUUCCAUUAAUUGCUUGAAUUAGACUAGCUACUAAUAUCUAACAAAAUCCAUGCUUUGUAGGCCACAACGUAAGGCCUUUGAUUGUUGCAUAAUUUAUGAAUAUUGCUGAAUACGUUCUUAAUAAUGCACUUCCAGAUUUGGAUUGCAGUCUCUUUCGUUAAGCAAAAGUUCAACCGUGAAGAAUCUCUGGCCCGCGCAAAAUCGGAAUUAGGUUUCAAUUGCUCUAGAGAAGAGGUGGAUUAUGUAUAUUCUUUUCUGUACUGCAUGAAGAGUCUAUUCGUGGGGCGCACACAAGGUUUCCAAGAAAAGGGUGAAGAAUGCAUGGCUGAGAAAAGAGGUAGCCAUUAUAGCUCAGUAACCAAGGAUGUUGAAAAGACUAUUAGCGACAUCAAAAAGAAAUGCAGUAAGAGCCUGCAUAAGCUUGUACAAACCCUCGAGGAAGAAAAGAUGGACCUGAUGAAUAGGAAUGCUGUCAAGAAGCAGGAACUUCAGAAUUGUAAAAAGGUGGAAGCAUCAUUUAUUCGUGUCACCUAUUCAGGUAUAAAUACUCAGAGCUUACAUGAUGCUCUCCAACGGC